rnacentral:rRNA from 1 species
UACGUAGGGUGCGAGCGUUGCUCGGAAUUACUGGGCGUAAAGCGCACGUAGGCGGCUUUCUAAGUCGGGGGUGAAAUCCUGGAGCUCAACUCCAGAACUGCCUUCGAUACUGGAAAGCUCGAGUCCGGGAGAGGUGAGUGGAACUGCGAGUGUAGAGGUGAAAUUCGUAGAUAUCCGAAAGAACACCGGUGGCGAAGGCGACUCGCUGGGCUUUUGCUGACACUGAAUCACGACAGCGUGGGGAGCAAACAGG